AUGCAAGUCGAACGAUGAAGCCCUUCGGGGUGGAUUAGUGGCGAACGGGUGAGUAACACGUGGGCAAUCUGCCCUUCACUCUGGGACAAGCCCUGGAAACGGGGUCUAAUACCGGAUACCACUCCUGCCUGCAUGGGCGGGGGUUGAAAGCUCCGGCGGUGAAGGAUGAGCCCGCGGCCUAUCAGCUUGUUGGUGGGGUAAUGGCCCACCAAGGCGACGACGGGUAGCCGGCCUGAGAGGGCGACCGGCCACACUGGGACUGAGACACGGCCCAGACUCCUACGGGAGGCAGCAGUGGGGAAUAUUGCACAAUGGGCGAAAGCCUGAUGCAGCGACGCCGCGUGAGGGAUGACGGCCUUCGGGUUGUAAACCUCUUUCAGCAGGGAAGAAGCGAAAGUGACGGUACCUGCAGAAGAAGCGCCGGCUAACUACGUGCCAGCAGCCGCGGUAAUACGUAGGGCGCAAGCGUUGUCCGGAAUUAUUGGGCGUAAAGAGCUCGUAGGCGGCUUGUCACGUCGGAUGUGAAAGCCCGAGGCUUAACCUCGGGUCUGCAUUCGAUACGGGCUAGCUAGAGUGUGGUAGGGGAGAUCGGAAUUCCUGGUGUAGCGGUGAAAUGCGCAGAUAUCAGGAGGAACACCGGUGGCGAAGGCGGAUCUCUGGGCCAUUACUGACGCUGAGGAGCGAAAGCGUGGGGAGCGAACAGGAUUAGAUACCCUGGUAGUCCACGCCGUAAACGUUGGGAACUAGGUGUUGGCGACAUUCCACGUCGUCGGUGCCGCAGCUAACGCAUUAAGUUCCCCGCCUGGGGAGUACGGCCGCAAGGCUAAAACUCAAAGGAAUUGACGGGGGCCCGC
rnacentral:rRNA from 1 species